AGUGAACGCUGGCGGUAGGCCUAACACAUGCAAGUCGAACGGCAGCACAGUAAGAGCUUGCUCUUACGGGUGGCGAGUGGCGGACGGGUGAGGAAUACAUCGGAAUCUACUUUUUCGUGGGGGAUAACGUAGGGAAACUUACGCUAAUACCGCAUACGACCUACGGGUGAAAGCAGGGGAUCUUCGGACCUUGCGCGAUUGAAUGAGCCGAUGUCGGAUUAGCUAGUUGGCGGGGUAAAGGCCCACCAAGGCGACGAUCCGUAGCUGGUCUGAGAGGAUGAUCAGCCACACUGGAACUGAGACACGGUCCAGACUCUUACGGGAGGCAGCAGUGGGGAAUAUUGGACAAUGGGCGCAAGCCUGAUCCAGCCAUACCGCGUGGGUGAAGAAGGCCUUCGGGUUGUAAAGCCCUUUUGUUGGGAAAGAAAAGCAGCAGGUUAAUACCCCGCUGUUCUGGCGGUACCCAAAGAAUAAGCACCGGCUAACUUCGUG
rnacentral:rRNA from 1 species